rnacentral:rRNA from 1 species
CGAGUCAUUGUAGCAUACAAGGCAUACGGCUCAGUAACGCGUACUCAAUCUAACCUAUGGACGGGAAUAACCUCGGGAAACUGAGAAUAAUGCCCGAUAGAACAUUAUGCCUGGAAUGGUUUAUGUUCCAAAUGAUUUAUCGCCGUAGGAUGGGACUGCGGCCUAUCAGUUUGUUGGUGAGGUAAUGGCCCACCAAGACUAUUACAGGUACGGGCUCUGAGAGGAGUAGCCCGGAGAUGGGUACUGAGACACGGACCCAGGCCCUAUGGGGCGCAGCAGGCGAGAAAACUUUGCAAUGUGCGAAAGCACGACAAGGUUAAUCCGAGUGGUUUCUGCUAAAGAAACCUUUUGUCAGUCCUAGAAACACUGAUGAAUAAGGGGUGGGCAAGUUCUGGUGUCAGCCGCCGCGGUAAAACCAGCACCUCAAGUGGUCAGGAUGAUUAUUGGGCCUAAAGCAUCCGUAGCCGGCUCUGUAAGUUUUCGGUUAAAUCUGUACGCUCAACGUACAGGCUGCCGGGAAUACUGCAGAGCUAGGGAGUGGGAGAGGUAGACGGUACUCGGUAGGAAGGGGUAAAAUCCUUUGAUCUAUUGAUGACCACCUGUGGCGAAGGCGGUCUACCAGAACACGUCCGACGGUGAGGGAUGAAAGCUGGGGGAGCAAACCGGAUUAGAUACCCGGGUAGUCCCAGCUGUAAACUAUGCAAACUCAGUGAUGCAUUGGCUUGUGGCCAAUGCAGUGCUGCAGGGAAGCCGUUAAGUUUGCCGCCUGGGAAGUACGUACGCAAGUAUGACACUCAAAAGGAUUUGA